GCCUAUAGCUCAGUUGGUUAGAGCACCUGACUCAUAAUCAGGUGGUCCCAGGUUCAAGUCCUGGUGGGC
rnacentral:tRNA from 1 species